CCCUUAACCCUAUAGACACCCACACGGCCACACCAUACGCAGUCACUGGCAAACACAUCUAUUGUUUCGGCGUCGAUAAUAUUCACUUCCCGCUGGCCGCUGCACGCACACACAAACACACCAACGCCUACGAUGCAACCAUGGGGUUAACUUCUAAUCAAUGGUUCUCUGCACGCUGGGUCAUAAGGAAGACCUUCUCGAGCUACAGGAUGAGGAGCUGGCUUCCACCAUGAGAGAACAAAUAUAGCGAGCACUGUAAUUUUGGGAAAGAAAUUGGGUAUUUUGUUGCUUUUGCACCCUGUUUCCUUUAAGUUAUUAUUAUUAGCCACGUCUACCUAAUUUUUAGUGGUAUGUUUAUCUAGCAUUCUGUUGUACCCCUUAAAAUAAAAUGCCUCGCUCAGGAACCGGAGAGAUUUAUGUGGGCGUUAAGUAUGGCACAAUCUCGAUGUAUCAGCAAGCAAAUAAGAAUUGGCGCCUUAAUUCAGGAUAAAAAUAUGUUAGUUCCUUAUGCUGGUGUUGUUCAGCCUUGGGGUGUGUUUGGUUCAACAAAGGGAAGGAAGGGGGAGGGAAAUGAAAAUUGUAGUAGUGUAUUGGUUCAUAUGGAAUGAAGAAAAGGGGAGGGGUGGGGGAGAUAAGUUGCAAUUUUGCAUUUGAUUAGGGGAUGGAGGUGAAGGAAAAUAAAUUAUUUUCCAAUUGUGCUACACUAUAUUACUUGGAUAAACAAAAAGCUACAAUUUAGGUUCUCUUUCUUAGACCUCAUUAAUAUCUGUCAAGCAGUAGAGGUUUGCAGGCAAUGGAGACACAAGUUGUUUUGAAGACUUCUUAUGGUUUUUAAAUUUUGAGACUAAAGCGAUGUCUAUCAAACGAUGUAAGUGUAGUUCAAUUGUGAUAUGCUAUUUGUUCAACGAUUUUUUUAUCCAUUAUAUGACAUUUUGAUAUAAAUAUGGAUUCAAAGUUCUUUCUGCCUACAUUUUAGAUAUUUGUUUGGCUUAAAGAAUGCUCAGUGAACACUUGAGCAUAUGUGAAAUAUCAUCAAGUAUAAUCCAACUAUUAUUCGGCUUAAAGCCUUUUCAUUCUUACAUGCAUGUGUUGAUUCUCUUGUCCCAGAGAGUUAAGAACUUACUUUUAACUUUGUUCUUUCAUUUAGUUGAAACCAUGUGUGAUCGAUAUCCAAACACUACAAGUGUGAAUGUCUAUGGUGCUCCAGAAUUGACCUUCUUAGAAUAAAAACAGUAGCCUUAUUGAGGUAUAUACAAUAUGCAUUUUUAAAGGUGGCUUAACUGUGGUAGUUUUAUAUUAUAUUUAUGAACCUUUCAUUUAUCCUAGAAAAUCUUGAGAGUUUAACUCUGGGCAAAAGCCAGUUGCCAGAGGCAUUUUUCCAAGUCUUAAUUGAUUGCCGUAUGUUGAAUAAAUUAGUUACAUUUCACAUGAUAGAUUAGUUGAGCUUCACAUACAGAGAUGUCCGCUCUACAUAUCUGUCAGGUAUAAAGCUUACCAUUUUUGUCUCAUUUUGUUCUAUUGUAUUGUUUUUCAACUGCAUUAAUUAUAUUUAUGGUCUUCUUCAAAUAUUCACACCUUGAAAUUAUCUCUCAGACGUAGUAGCAUGUCUCAUGUAAUACUCAAUUGUCGUAUUUUGCAAGAACUUGAUAUCGCUUCCUGUCAAAAGCUUUUUGAUGGUGCAAUUUGUUCAUUAGCAAAAUCCUCCCCACGAUUGGAAUCCUUGGAUAUGUCGAAUUGUUUUCAAACUGAACCUAAUGGAGCAAGGAAGAAAGUGGCUCUUCAUACCAAAAGAUACACACUGGUGGUAUGCGACUAAGAUGAAAGUGAGAUAUAGCUUAUGAGGAAAAGGUCCUAAAGCAGCUUAAUAAUAGCGUACGAGAGGCUUAUAACAAGUGGAUGAGCAAUCCAAUAAAUGCGCGGGAUAGAACCUUGCACUUGGUUUAUUUUAUAUUAUCGUAUGAUAUUGGGAACAAAGUUUAUUUUGUAUUCUAUUGUGUUUAGUAUUUGGAUUGUUGUUGGAAUGACUUUAAAUUAUUACUUUGUUAUUUUUUGAGACAAGUGUAUGAACGUAAAAUGAAUCUAUAUUGUUAGUUUGUAAUUGUUUGGAACAAACAUUGGAAUUCGAAAUGAAUUUAU